rfam:Paenibacillus sp. HGF7 contig00149, whole genome shotgun sequence.
GGGGGCGUUUUUGGAUUCGACGGGGGUAGUUCGAGCAUGGGUAGCGGGUAGUGGGGACGCGUCCGCUUCAUCAACGCUAAAGCCUAUUAAACGGCAAACAACAACAAAACUACGCUUUCGCAGCUUAAUAACCUGUGAGCGUGCUCCUCUCCUGUAUCGCCCAUGUGCCGGAUGUAGGGGCUAACCUUUAGUGGGAUACGCUGUCACAUCUCCGCCUGGGGUGUGCUGAAGAAGACAAUCAGGCUGACCUUAGCGAGAGCCGGUUACGGGGCGCUUGCUUGGGUGACAUCAAACCCGUGACUACACCCGUAGAAGCUUAUGUGUCGUUAUCUUCGGACAGGGGUUCGACUCCCCUCGCCUCCAUAC